rnacentral:rRNA from 1 species
CACGUAGUUAGCCGUGGCUUUCUGGUUAGAUACCGUCAAGGGAUGAACUUUUUACUCUCAUCCUUAUUCUUCUCUAACAACAGAGUUUUACGAUCCGAAAACCUUCUUCACUCACGCGGCGUUGCUCGGUCAGACUUUCGUCCAUUGCCGAAGAUUCCCUACUGCUGCCUCCCGUAGGAGUCUGGGCCGUGUCUCAGUCCCAGUGUGGCCGAUCACCCUCUCAGGUCGGCUAUGCAUCGUGGCCUUGGUGAGCCGUUACCUCACCAACUAGCUAAUGCAGCGCGGGUCCAUCCAUCAGUGACGCAAAAGCGCCUUUCACUUUCUCUCCAGGCGGAGAAAAAGAUUAUGCGGUAUUAGCACCUGUUUCCAAGUGUUAUCCCCGCUGAUGGGUAGGUUACCCACGUGUUACUCACCCGUUCGCCACUCUUCUUUUUCGGUGAACCGAGUUCGAUUGAAAAAGAGCGUUCGACUUGCAUGUAUUAGGCACGCCGCAGCGUUCGUCCUGAGC